rnacentral:lncRNA from 1 species
AUGGUUCAAACUAUGUUCAUGUUACAACAGUUUCCAGGAGAAGCCUUGUGAAUUUUGCCCUAAAACUUGAAAAGCUUUUUAAGAUCACUUGGUUAACCCUCGUUGUAAUAUUUGCUUUCUGGUAGGUAAUAAUUAUCACAAUUUCAAUUGAUACAAUUAAUAUCAUAUUUAAUUUUGAUCACUAGUUGAGUGAAAUAUUUUAACUUUACUGAUUUUGCUUAUUUUUCACAUGCAGGUGAUUUGCAUCUUUGGCUAUAUUAUUCAUAGCAUGAAAGAAGAUCUGACCUUUUCCCUCGGUAGCUUAGCCUUUUUAUUUGCAUGUUUCAUUGUGCCCCAUUAGCCAUUUUCCUAAUUGUUGAUUUUACUGUUUUCUUCCCUUGCACUGUCAUUGAACAAUUCUUGGUUCAAGUCUUUGGUUUGUAUCCUGUAUUUUUGUUUCAUCAUUCUGAAACAUCGUGUAGGACAUAGAGGUACUUAAGGAAUACAUUUGCUUCUUGCAAUGUUGAACCAGUUGUGUACAGUACAGUUGCUUUCUAUCUUCAACUCAAUGCGUCAAUACUUCUACGUGCUAUAGUGGAAUCUCUUGUCCAUUAUUAAUUCUAAACUUCAGCCAUGAUCAAUUAUGUGUUUAUUGA